rnacentral:rRNA from 1 species
CCUACGGGAGGCAGCAGUGGGGAAUCUUGCGCAAUGGGCGAAAGCCUGACGCAGCGACGCCGCGUGGGUGAUGAAGGCCUUCGGGUUGUAAAGCUCUGUGGGGAGAGACGAAUAAGGCAUGGCUAAUAUCCAUGGUGAUGACGGUAUCUCCUUAGCAAGCACCGGCUAACUCUGUGCCAGCAGCCGCGGUAAGACAGAGGGUGCAAACGUUGUUCGGAAUUACUGGGCGUAAAGCGUGUGUAGGCGGCCAAGUAAGUUGGAUGUGAAAGCCCGGGGCUCAACCCCGGAAGUGCAUUCAAUACUGCAUGGCUUGAGUAUCGGAGAGGUUGGUGGAAUUCUCGGUGUAGAGGUGAAAUCCGUAGAUAUCGAGAGGAACACCGGUGGCGAAGGCGGCCAACUGGACGAAUACUGACGCUGAGACACGAAAGCGUGGGGAGCAAACAGGAUUAGAUACCCUGGUAGUCCACGCCGUAAACGAUGGGUGCUAGGUGUCACGGGCAUUGACUCCCGUGGUGCCGUAGCCAACGCAUUAAGCACCCCGCCUGGGAAGUCGGCCGCAAGGCUAAACUANAGAUUGACGNNGAGAGNGCGAGGACGACGACGAGGGAGAGG